AUCGAGGGUAAAAAAGUCAGUGUCUACAGACAGCUUCCAUGAACCUUUGCUUUGGUAUUACAAUGACAUGCACUUCAUAAAAGACCAGUUGGAAAUCGCACAAACCGAAACUUCUGAACAACCGACUCCGGAUGAACACUCGCAAUCACAACUCAGUUUCGAAAGUGUAGGGUCUCCUUAUGACGUAGUUACACCCCUAACUCCGAAACCAGCCAUCCCUGUAAAGACGGGUAAAAAAAGGAAGGCGGGCCUAAUAACACUGAUCAAUUAGUGGGACUAGCGAAUGAAUAUUUCAAGCGACAUGAAACUGAAGGAGAUACUUUGGCUAAGGGAUGGGCUAUGAAAUUAAAAAAGAUAACUCCAGACCAACGACACUUCGCCGAAAAAAUUAUAAAUUACACGCUUUUUUAAGCAGAAAUGGACAAUUUAACAAGGGAAAGAGUGCGUUUCUGAUCCCUCCCUUUUCGUUGGUCACCCUCGCUACCUUCAUCGUCAUCUUCUUCAAUAAAUAGUUGGUAAGAUACUCCAACCCAGGACAGACGCUGUACAUUUCGCAUCCAAGUGAAAUCCCUUCAUACCCAGAGCAAUAUCACGAAAAGUCUGAUAAAGAUAAUGCUGCUACGUUCUUCUCCUCAUUUACCUCAAUGUAAACUUGUGCCCUAAUCUUUUCAGUUCAGCAAUAAUGCACAUUACCUGUGCGAUAUCUGUAUUAUCAGUGAAGUGUAAUUAUUUUUUUUUCUUGAAAUAUAAAGAGAUUUAAUUGGGCAAUAAUUUCUUACCUGGAUGUUUUCCUUCAAUGCCUUGAUAAUUGCAGAGCUAGUUUCCAUUAUGAUGAGCUCCAGAGUCUGCGGAGAAAUGACACGCGUGAAUUUCAGGUUUUCUAAAUCCAUGCCAGAUGCUAGGUACCUCAACGUGACAAUCUCUGAUUUGCAGGAAUCGUCUCACGCAUUCUCGUAUCCAUCUUCUCGAUGUCUUGGCAGAAACUUUCUUGGUCCAUGCGAAGAAAAUUCCUAUAACUCUCUGGUUCCUAACCACUAAAAAAGUUAAGAUGUUGAUGAGUGAAGCGGUUCCUCAUUUUAUACCAGACCUUAGACUACCACCUUUUUUUUGUAGUUUCUCCCCUUCACAGCAACCAAUGUUAAGGUCAGGAAGCCCAAAUCUACUUUUGAUACCUUUAUACGCUCCACACUCCUCCUCUUCUAAGCUUCGACUGAGAGUUUUGAUCAAAAUAUUGAUGUGUUGAUUGAAGCACGCUUGAAGCGCCCAUCAAUAGGACCCGCAAGCAUUUGAUCAAGCCGCUUGAUAAUGUAGGGCCUACUUUACUUUAUGCUUUGCAACUUGUAUGUAUGUAGAUAUUGGGGUUCAUAUACACUGCAGCUCAUAGAAUCUAUUGUGUCCCCCUUUCUUACUGUGAUACUGUGGAACUUUGUGUUUACAGCUGGUAUGUGGGAUGGCUGUAGUUGCCAGAGAUCUUCGUAUAUUUCAUACAUUUUCAGGUAUAGGGCUCUGAAAUCAGUAGUGUUUCACAUUUAGAGAGAAAUUCAAACCCUUCCUAAACUUUUUGUCGAAGUUAGAAAAAAAAUGCAAAACAUUACAAUUUCCGAUAGAGAGAUUUCUUUUAUUUUAUAAUUAUGUUAUUUUAUCCAAAUCUAAUAAUUUUUCAGCUAAAUGUGCUCCUAAAUAUAUUCCUUGUAUUGUCAACAAAGUUAUUUCUAAAUUAAUUUAUAAAUUAAAAGAUGUUUCUGGUAAUGACCUAGGUAACUGGCAGAUUUAUUAUUGACGUAGAUGAAAAUCUUCCCGAUAAUGAUUCUUCAGAUCAACAUUCUGGUUUUCCAGACUUAUCUGGCAAUAAUUAUAAUUUGCGAAUCAGAUUCGACAGUGCUACUGAUUAAUUCAAAGAUUUUUGUUUUUCAUUUAGAUUUUUGCAUGAUUAUACUUAUCUACCUUUUCAUUUCAGCCCCAUAAAAGGUUAUUAGUUUUUUAACUAAAAAUAAUCAAGCAAUUUAAAACAAAAUUAUAAAAAAUUUUUUCUCCGGUGGCGUAAAAAAUAGGGGGAUAAAAGUCUAUUUAUCUAUUUAUAACCCAGAAGUAUGGUAGCGAAUAUCACACAUAGUUAUUAUAUUUUUUUUUGAAAAUUAUUGUAAAUGUUCUCAUCUUAUUGUUGAAAUGUUUAGCAUUUCAUUAUCUUUUUCUCAGCACAUGUUUAACAUUUCAUUUUUUGAUCAAGUUUACCGUUCCAAUGCCAAAAUAUAUUACUACUAAACAUAUUCUCCUCUUAAGUGUUUCUUCUUUCUUUGCAAACCAGACCUCCACAGCUUUUAUUACCUCCUCGAUAGAAGAAAAUUUACGACCUUUUAAAUUUUUCACUUAAGGAAAGAAAUGAUAGUCGGACGGAGCCAAAUCUGGUGAAUAAGGGGGGUGUUCUAGUAAUUAAAACCUUAAAUCACGAAUUUUUUGCAUGGUAACAUGAGAUUUGUGUACAGGGGCGUUAUCCUGCAAAAACAAAAAAACCUUUGGAUAGCUUUCCGCGUCUUUUCUAGUUUCAGUUAUUAUUCUACCCUUAUCCAAAAAAUCAAUAAUGAUUACUCCAUGGCAAUCCCAAAAAACUGAAGCAAGAACUUUUCCAGCAGAUUUUUGGAUCUAGGAGAACCUGAACGUCGCCAUUCCAUGUUGCUUUGUUUCUGGAUUUAGAAAUUAAACCAAGUCUCAUCCAUAGUAACAAUUCGGUUUAAGAAGUCUACAUCGUUUUCAAAGCGAACGCGAUGCUUCUACCCUUGCUUCUUACCCUUGCAUGCAUUAUGGGGGAAUAAUGUUGGUCACUUCACCGGAAAGUUCAUCAAUCGAAUUAUCACAGAAAAAGUGUCACAAGAAGUUUCAAAGAAAAAAUGAAAAGAAAAUAUAGACAAAUUCCAGUUGAUAAGUAAAACCUGUAUUAUCUCACUACAUCACACUGUAAAUACAAACC